GGCUCAGUUUCAUUUGUGGUUUUCUCUCCCUUAAAAACAAAGAAAUAGCCUGGGUGCAGUGGCUCACGUCUGUAAUCCCAGCACUUUGGGAGGGUGAGGCAGGCAGAUCACUUGAGGUCAGGAGUACGAGACCAGCCUGGCCAACAGUUACGCCCACCUUUGUUUGAGGAUAUGAAAUGUCCAGGUUAUGAACAAUAGGAAUUGCUUCUGAUACAAUCACAGCAGAUGACCUUCUGUGCUGGCUGAUCUAACUGACUCACCCUGAGAUCAGAUU
rnacentral:lncRNA from 1 species